AAACCGUUCUCUCUUUCUGCACUUCCCCUCUUUUCAUUGUAUAAUCGAGAGUUUAAUAGUUGGGUAGUGGUAAUGUGGCACCCAUAAACAUAUCAAAUGGCAGUCCCAUAAAAUCUUAUUUUUCUUAUGUGUGCAGGGGUGGUCUGAGAGAGUCUCAAUUUAGCCAAGUACUGAAUAUCGAGGUUGAUCAAAUAAUGAAGAAUAUGGGUCAGGGGACACCUCCAAAGAUUACAGUGAUCAUUGCUCAAAAGAAUCACCACACAGAACUGUUCCAACCGGAUGCGCCAGACAGUUCUCCUCCACUUGUGUUGCCUCGACGCCCCUUUGCUGAAAAAGCUGCAACCCAUUGAGUUCCAGUGUGUAGCCUGACUCAUCCUUCUUAAGGGUGCACAGGUAGUAAGGAAGGUCAUACGCCUCUCUGACCGAGCACAUGAGAAGACUGUUCAAGAUGGCGAUUAUUACAGGCAGAAACUGCAGAGGUUCAGAAAAAUGCUGCCAUUCCUUUGUUUAAGCGAGUGUGCCUCUGGUUCACUAUGAACGGCUGAUAGUUCUCUUCAUAUAAUUACUGCUGAUACAUGUAGGAUAAUACCGAUUGUUACAAUUGAUAAUAAUAAUUAUGUGGCAUGUGCAUCCUGCUUGGUUUAAGAGUUUCAGGACCUGUUAUAACGAAUUCUGAAGGUUGUCAAGCUUGUGAUUGAGAAGACUGUUAUGGAUGCA